CUGAGGCGUGAUGACGAGGCACUACGGUGCUGAAGCAACAAAUGCCCUGCUUCCAGGAAAAGCCUCUAAGCAUCAGGUAACAUCAAAUCGUACCCCAAACCGACACAGGUGGUCAGGUAGAGAAUACCAAGGCGCUUGAGAGAACUCGGGUGAAGGAACUAGGCAAAAUGGUGCCGUAACUUCGGGAGAAGGCACGCUGACACGUAGGUGAAGUGAUUUACUCAUGGAGCUGAAGUCAGUCGAAGAUACCAGCUGGCUGCAACUGUUUAUUAAAAACACAGCACUGUGCAAACACGAAAGUGGA
rnacentral:rRNA from 1 species